GGGUGACGACGUGAUCGUCGUCAUGAGAGAGAGAGAGACUGUGAGAGAGAGCGGCUCCGGGAAUGGAAUCAGAGGAAGAACAAGAAGCAAAUGUUAACCCAGUCGAAGAGAUUUAAGCCUCAAAUGAUUCUUUUUAAGAAUUAAUUGUGAUAAGCGGGUGAGCGAGAUUUCGUUUCUUCUUGUCAAUUUGUGCAUCUGUUAUUUGCUCUUGCUGCUGCACACUCGUUUCCUACUUUCCCAUUCUCUCUCCUCGCCAGAGAGAGAGAGAGAGAGAGAGAGAGAGACCCUGAGGAACUUGCAGUGAAAAUUUUAGUGGACCCCCUAGAAUUAAACAAGGAUGAAAUCAAAUAGACAAAAUGAAAGUGUAAUUUUCAGUUUGUGUGUGGCAUUGUCCUUGUUAUUUGUGGAUAAUAAGAUGAAACUUUCUAUUUUCAAAAUGGGCGGCUGGUUCAUGCGACUGGUUGGUUUGAGGAAGGAAAAAAAGAAACUUUCAUUUGUCAUGCUGAAUUUGCUAAAGGAAAUAACAGCCGUUGACGCAAAAAAAAGACCGGUGCACCAGACCUGAUCAGUAUGCAUUGUGAAUUUUCUAGCUUUGAGCCUUUCUGAUCAUCUCUUCAAUGGGGGAAAUUUUCUAGUUAAACCCAACUUACUUAGCCCCCCUUUUUUUCUCAUGGAUUUUAUAGGUCCUCUGAUCAGCAUAGUUAGUUGUUUAUGCAAAUCAGCUGCCUCUGGAGUAACCCAUCUCGUGACUUUGGAUCGAAGGGUUCACUCCCUCGCUACUGCCCUGAAAGAAUUGAAAGACAUGAGGGAUGAGUUGAAGAAACAGGUGGACCAUGCCGAGUCUGGGGGACUAAUGCGCACAAACCAAGUCAAAAGGUGGCUAGACAGGGUAGAGGAAAUUGAAGCUGAGGUGAGCUUGAUUGUUGAAAAAUUUGGGCAGCGGAGGCAAAUUUUUGGGUGCUGUGGUGCAAAUUGUGCUUCAAGAUGCAAGCUGAGCUGGAAAGUCCCAAAGAAGCUGAAGGAUGUAAAUGAGCUGAUGGACAAAGGAGCUUUCAAUGCCCUUGUUACUGACGGUUUGCUUCCUGUUGUUGUGGAGGAGAUGCCUUGCAGGCCGUCCGUUGGCCAGGAAGUUAUGUUGGAGAAAGUUUGCCGGUUUCUUAAAGAGGAUGAGGUUGGAGUGGUUGGGGUUUAUGGGAUCGGUGGUGUGGGAAAGACUACUCUCUUGAAGAAUAUAAACAACAGUUUUCUUACUGAAACCCAUUAUUUUGAUGUGGUGAUAUGGGUUUCGAUCUCUAAAGAUUUUGUCCCUGAAAGGGUCCAACAAACUGUUAGGGUAAGGUUGGGCUUGUCUUGGGAUGAAACUGAAUGCCGAGAACGACGCGCUUUGAAAAUAUACAGGGUUUUGAGAAGAAAAAAGUUCUUGCUAUUGUUGGAUGAUGUUUGGGAAGGGUUUGAUCUUGACGAAAUCGGAGUUCCAUUUCCUGACAGGAAAAACAAAUGCAAGGUGAUUUUCACGUCACGGUUUAAAGAAGUGUGCAGUGACAUGGAUGCUCACCGGAAGCUCAAAGUAGAAUUAUUGACAGAGAAGGAAUCGUGGAAACUCUUUGAAGAGAAGCUCGGUCAAAGGGAGAUUUUAGACUCUCGGUUGAUAAGGACUCAUGCCGGGACCAUUAUUAGAAAAUGUGGAGGUCUACCGCUUGCUCUGAUCACAAUGGGAAGAGCCAUGGCCAAUAAAGAGAGUGAAGAAGAUUGGAAGCAUGCUAUAGAAGUACUCAACAAAUGCCCGUUGGAAGUUCGAGGUAUGGAAAAUGUCUUCACUCACUUAAAAUUCAGCUUUGACAAUUUGGAGAAUGAUACAUUAAGGUUGUGCUUCUUGUAUUGUUCUCUGUUCCCUGAAGGCUGUAUCAUUGAGGAAGAACAGCUUGUAGAGUACUGGAUUGGUGAAGGUUUUCUAGACAGGCCCCAAGAUGAUAAUGCCCAUAAAAGGGGCCAUGAUGUCAUUGAAUCUCUAAAAGUUGCGUAUCUACUCGAAACUGGUAAAGAAAAAUCUCAUGUGAGGAUGCAUGAUAUCAUCCGAGGUUUUGCCCUAUGGAUUGCAUCUGAAUGUGGGAAGAAUGAGAAGAAUUUUCUAAUACAGGCAAGUGCUGGAUUGACUGAGGCACCCAGAGUUGAAGACUGGGAAAAAGCUCAGAGAAUUUCAUUAUUAGAUAAUGAAAUUUAUGCACUAUCAGAAAAACCCAAUUGUCCCAAUUUAUCAACUUUGAUGUUGCAAUGGAACAGUGGUUUGAGCAAAAUUGAUUAUGGAUUUUUCCAAUUUAUGCCCGCUCUCAAGGUCCUUGAUUUGUCAUUCACCUGUCUUAGAGAGAUCCCAGCAACUAUCAGUAAAUUAGUUGAGUUGUGUCAUCUUAAUUUGUCAGGGACUAAGGUAACCACAUUGCCCAAAGAGCUAGGAGGUCUGACAAAAUUGAGGCAUCUAGAUCUGCAGCGUGCAUAUUCUCUUAAAUCAAUUCCUCGUGAAGCAAUAUCUGGACUUUCCCAGUUGAGGGUGUUGAAUUUCUACUACAGUUAUGCAAAUUGGGAGGCGCAAGUUUAUGAGGGUGUGAAUGAAGUUGGAUUUUCUGACUUGGAACAUUUAAGACAGCUUACCACUCUUGGGAUAACAGUAACUGAAUUAACUUUCCUCAGGAGGCUCUCUGGUUUCAAAUACUUGUUGAAAUGUGUGCAGUCUCUGUACAUCACUGAAUGUUCUGGCUUAUUUCACCUGAAGUUAUCAUCAGCCUUCAAUGACGGCGAGAGACUGAGAAGGCUUAGUAUUAAUAACUGCUGUAACUUCAAGUACUUGGCAAUUGAUGCAGGGACUGAAAAGAAGUGGCUGCCAAGCUUGGAGGUUCUUGCCUUGCACCGCCUUCCCCACUUGAUUGCUGUUUGGAAGAAUCCAGUGACUACAGGAUGCCUCCGAAAUCUUCGAUCCAUAACCAUUUGGCAUUGCCAUAAAUUGAAGAAUAUUUCGUGGAUUCUGCAGCUUCCAAAGGUUGAAGCAAUUUAUUUGUUUUACUGCAAAGAAAUGGAAUGUGUUAUCGAAGAUGCAGUGGAUCAGGAAAAUUCAGCGGCAUUUCCAAGCCUUAGAACUUUGUCCAUCAGAGACCUCCCAGAGUUAAGAAGCAUCUCCCAACAGGCAUUGGCCUUUCCUUCUCUUGAGAGCUUUUCUGUGAUAGACUGUCCAAAGCUGAAGAUGCUUCCACUAAAAGCUCAUUGUAUUUCCUCAUUGCUGACAAUAUAUGGCAACAAGGAAUGGUGGGAUGGUUUGCAGUGGAAUGAAGCCUCCACCAAAUCUGCAUUCUUUCCUCACUUCAAGGCAACUUGUUGAAGCAUUAAUUUAUUUAUGAGCAUAGACCAUAUUUGAAUCUGGCACAUUCCUUGAACAGUGAUCUGAAAAGGCACAAGCUCCUCAACAUUGGGUGAUGUCCAACCUUGAUUGGCUCAAGUCAACUCCACCAGCAAAACCUUUGGAUCCAGUGAUGUGGGCAUGCAUGUAAGCCAAUGUGCACUUGGAUGACCAAAACUGUUUGUGGUUUCGUCUUCUGCAUCCUCUGCUCGGGAGUGAGAAGGAGAUGAAGAUAAAAGCUAAGAGUACACGUAAAAGCAUGAUAAUGCACGAUUUCUGAACUUGGGUGAGAUGCCAAAUCCUUUUUUCCUGUUUAUUCAAGUAUGCUAUCUAUAUGGUAACAUUUUUAAAAUUUCAAUUUCCAUACAUAUUCUUUUCAAAUUUUCACAAUUAAUUGGCUUCUUUGAAAUGAAAUGGUUACAAUCUUCAUGAUGCCAACAACCCAAGAAGGGUCAUGUCAAUAAUCGAAGGUUCUUUUUUGUGAGUGGCAAA